ensembl:rRNA 5S_rRNA 5S ribosomal RNA
UCUGUUAACUAAACUGAGCUCAAAGCACCAGCUCCAGUCAGAUCUUAGAAGCGAGGCAAGUGCCAGGCCCUGUUCAGCACCAGAGUGGGAGACCACUGGGUAAUUUCAGGUGCAGCAGUC